rnacentral:lncRNA from 1 species
CAUACCACCAAUUAAAAGUCCCUAUCUGUUCAACCAAAUUUUGCAAUUUUCACAGCUUUCUAAAUAUUUUACCUUAAGUUUAACUUCAUAGAAACUAGGUAUAUCCUAAAUCGUUCAGGUGUCACCUUUCUGCAUGCCAAUUUUCAACAUACAUUCAAAAUCAUAUAAGAAAGAAGAGAGCUUCCGAAAGGAGAUACCACUAAAAUAACCCCUGGUUUUCUGGAAAUCUUAAAUUAGUAUACUAUGGAGCGCAUUAAUCCUCAAUUUUUAAUGCAAACUCAUAAACAGGAAAAUUUUGGCUUAAAAUGGUCUUAAUUUAUUUCUCUUUCAACAAAACUUUCAUUUCUGCAAAUUUGUUGGUUAGUUUAGGUGAACAAUGACAUCAAAUGCACUAUUUUUUGUCCAAGUAGGCCUACUUUCACAUACGUUCUAAAUUUGAAGGAGUAAUUGGUGGUAUGACACCUAAAGUCAUUUUAAUUAAUAGUGCUCUAGUAAAAUGCUAGUCCAUGUACCACACUAAUGAUUCAGGCCAGUAAAAAAAUACAUGAAAGUUGUCUUUGUUAUAAACAAUACCUUCUAAUAAUUACAUUAGAUGUAUGUUUCAUUAUAAUACGUUAUUCUGAUUGGCUAACUGCACAUCGCGUGUUAUUCCUUCAGAAAUUGCAUUACUCAAUAAAACUUAUCUUUCAUGUUAACACGAGGUCCCACAAUAAAGUGCACAGGUGAAUUAAAUCAAAAGUUGAUAAAAUUC